CCUACGGUGGGCAGCAGUGGGGCAUAUUGGACAAUGGGCGCGAGCCUGAACCCGCCAAGUAGCGUGAAGGAUGACUGCCCUACGGGUUGUAAACUUCUUUUAUAAAGGAAUAAAGUGAGGCACGUGUGCCUUUUUGUAUGUACUUUAUGAAUAAGGAUCGGCUAACUCCGUGCCAGCAGCCGAGGUAAUACGGAGGAUCCGAGCGUUAUCCGGAUUUAUUGGGUUUAAAGGGAGCGGAGAUGGGUUGUUAAGUCAGUUGUGAAAGUUUGGGGCUCAACCCUAAAAUUGCAAUUGAUACUGGCAGUCUUGAGUACAGUUGAGGCAGGCGGAAUUCGUGGUGUAGCGGUGAAAUGCUUAGAUAUCACGAAGAACUCCGAUUGCGAAGGCAGCUUACUAAACUGCCACUGACAUUGAUGCUCGAAAGUGUGGGUAGCAAACAGGAUUAGAUACCCGAGUAGUC
rnacentral:rRNA from 1 species